AGAGUAUAAUGCAGCCAAGGAUGACUUGCCGGAGCGUUGUUCAUCAUGCAUAAAAAAUAUUGAUGAUGAUGAUGAUGGUGAUGAACAUAAUUCUGGCAAGUUGUCCUUCGGCUACAUUUUGCUCUCU
rnacentral:pre_miRNA from 1 species